GGCAUGGAUUAGGCAUGCAAGUUCGAACGUACUCCCUUCGGGGAGGAAGUGGCGAAAGGGUGAGUAACACGUGAGCAACCUACCUCCGGAUCCGGAAUAAUCCAGGGAAACUUGGUCUAAAACCGGAUGAAGACUCCGGGCCGCAUGGCCUGGCGUUAAAAUAUUUAUAGUCCGGAGAGGGGCUCGCGGCCCAUUAGCUUGUUGGCGGGGUAAUGGCCCACCAAGGCUAUGACGGGUAGGUGGUCUGAGAGGAUGGUCACCCACACUGGGACUGAGACACUGCCCAGACUCCUACGGGAGGCUGCAGUCGAGAAUCUUCCGCAAUGGGCGCAAGCCUGACGGAGCGAUGCCGCGUGAGGGAUGAAGGCCUUCGGGUUGUAAACCUCUGUCAUCCGGGACGAAAACAAUGACGGUACCGGAAAAGGAAGCCACGGCUAACCACGUGCCAGCAGCCGCGGUAACACGUGGGUGGCGAGCGUUAUUCGGAUUUACUGGGCGUAAAGGGUCCGCAGGGGGCCUGCCACGCCUGCCGUGAAAUUCCAAGGCUCAACCUUGGACCUGCGGCGGGUACGGGCGGGCUGGAGUGCAAGAAGGGCAGACGGAAUUCCAGGUGUAGCGGUGGAAUGCGUAGAUAUCUGGAAGAACACCGAUGGCGAAGGCGGUCUGCUGGCUUGUAACUGACCCUCAGGGACGAGAGCGUGGGUAGCAAACAGGAUUAGAUACCCUGGUAGUCCACGCCGUAAACGUUGU
rnacentral:rRNA from 1 species